UCUCCGUUGGUGAACCAGCGGAGGGAUCAUUACAGAGUUUUCACAACUCCCAACCCUUGCGAACCGUACCCAUUCUGUUCUCGUUGCUUCCGCUGAGCCUGGAGCAUUUCAGAUGAGUUGUCUCUCGCACAGUCAAUUGCUGUGUGGGGUUGGCAACUCUCGGUGACUGCUCUGGAUUCACAUGCCCAGCGGGAGGAUACUUAAUUUCCGAAUUUACUAUUUCAUCUGUCUGAACUAUGAACCAAAAAAAAAAUUGUUAAAACUUUCAGCAACGGAUCUCUUGGUUCUC
rnacentral:misc_RNA from 1 species